GCAGUGAAGGCGUCUGAAGCAAAAUUCAUUGCUGGGAGAUGGAGAAGAGAGAUUUCCUCUCGACGAAUUUUAUAAUUGCACUUAUUUCUUUCUUGUCGAAUCUAGUGACCACUGCCAGUCAAACUGAGUUUACGUUAGAGUUGUAAAUUGCGGUCUCUAAUAUAGUCUAAACCCCCUUCUAAAAGGAAAUGGAUCAGAGACGGGCUUGGAAAUAUUUCCCAACUGGCUGCUGUGGAGAAGGUGGGCCUGAUAUGUAUCAUUUGGAAAUUUCUCUGAUGUAAAGACUCCCGUGCUGGCAGAUCCUAAACUACUGAGAUGACAUCGCUGAGUGCAGACUUGGGAAGAGACACACACAAUCAGUGCUAACGAGCCUAGCACAGCCUUCUCCAGAACACCACUGAAAGCCUGAUGAAGAAUUGACACCUUCAGGAUCACACAUUUAUUACUCUGGGAUUAGAACUCGGGUGACCUGAACGCUAAACCGGAGCCCAUGUCACCCAGAAAGAUUUGCAUUUUCAGUCUCAUCUUUCACAUUGUCCUGUUAAAGAAAAUCUAAGUGCUAAAGUGAGCGCAACAGCAGAGUGGAUGAAGAGGUUGCCAUCUCGGAGCCCUGAGGAAAUUGGCAGUGGCCGAAGAUUUCAUCUACAGAACCAGGAACUUCAUAUUCUACUCAAAUCUAAGCAAAAUAGUGUGAGCUAGAUGCUGUAUUUCCCAUGUGAAUGAAGCCCAGGGAAGUCAGAAAACAUGCCGGAUGUCACUCAGGUAGGAAAAAUCAUUCUUUUUGCCUAGAGUGAGUUUCUUGACACUCUUUCUCCUUGUAGGUUCUUUUUACAUAUCCUUCAAAAUGAAAUUUAAAUAGUAUCUCUUAGGAUAGCCAUCCAUAAC
rnacentral:lncRNA from 1 species